rnacentral:pre_miRNA from 1 species
AGCCUCUGGGGAUCUUGUUAAAAUGCAGAUUCUGGUUCAGUAGGUCUGGGGCUGGAAUUCUGCAUUUCUAAUAAGCUCCAGGGGAUGCUGA